rnacentral:tRNA from 1 species
GGUAAAAUGACUGAAUUAGAAGUGAUAAACUGUAAAUUUAUAAAUGAGAUUAUUUCUCUUUUACCA